AUUGAACGCUGGCGGCAUGCCUUACACAUGCAAGUCGAACGGCAGCACGGGGGCAACCCUGGUGGCGAGUGGCGAACGGGUGAGUAAUACAUCGGAACGUGCCCAGUAGUGGGGGAUAGCCCGGCGAAAGCCGGAUUAAUACCGCAUACGACCUACGGGUGAAAGCGGGGGAUCGCAAGACCUCGCGCUAUCGGAGCGGCCGAUGUCAGAUUAGGUUGUUGGUGGGGUAAAAGCCCACCAAGCCGACGAUCUGUAGCUGGUCUGAGAGGACGACCAGCCACACUGGGACUGAGACACGGCCCAGACUCCUACGGGAGGCAGCAGUGGGGAAUUUUGGACAAUGGGCGCAAGCCUGAUCCAGCCAUGCCGCGUGCGGGAA
rnacentral:rRNA from 1 species